UUUACAUUAAAACAAUAAUAUAGUGCUCCAAUACGUUUUUAUAAUAAUGACAUAAAAUACAAAAACACUUGUGCAAGCGAAUCGUGCCCACAGCUAAAG